rnacentral:rRNA from 1 species
AAGUCAGAUGUGAAAGCCUUCUGUUCAACGGAAGAAUUGCAUCUGAAACUGCGAGUCUUGAGUGUAGGAGGGGAGAAUGGAACUUCUGGUGGAGCGGUGAAAUGCGUAGAUAUCAGAAGGAACGCCGGCGGCGAAAGCGAUUCUCUGGCCUAUUACUGACACUCAGUGUGCGAAAGCUAGGGGAGCAAACGGGAUUAGAUACCCCGGUAGUCCUAGCCGUAAACGAUGGGCACUAAGUAGAGGGAAUUACCGAUAUUCUCUCUGCCGUAGCUAACGCAUUAAGUGCCCCGCCUGGGGAGUACGGCCGCAAGGCUAAAACUCAAAAGAAUUGACGGGGGCUCGCACAAGCGGUGGAGCAUGUGGCUUAAUUCGAUGCAACGCGAAAAACCUUACCGAGGCUUGACAUGGUAGAAGUAGGAACCCGAAAGGGUAACGAACGGUAUCCAGUCCGUAGCUAUUACAGGUGUUGCAUGGCUGUCGUCAGCUCGUGUCGUGAGACGUUGGGUUAAGUCCCCUAACGAGCGAAACCCUUGUUUUUAGUUGCCAGCGGGUUGUGCCGGGCACUCUAGAAAGACUGCCGUCGUCAAGACGGAGGAAGGUGGGGACGACGUCAAGUCAUCAUGGCCCUUAUGCCCCGGGCUGCACACGUGCUACAAUGGUCGGUACAAACGGAAGCGAAG